rnacentral:rRNA from 1 species
AUUGAACGCUGGCGGCAUGCUUUACACAUGCAAGUCGAACGGUAACAGGCCGCAAGGUGCUGACGAGUGGCGAACGGGUGAGUAAUGCAUCGGAACGUGCCCCGUCGUGGGGGAUAACGCAGCGAAAGCUGCGCUAAUACCUCAUACGAACUAUGGAUGAAAGCGGGGGACCGAAAGGCCUCGCGCGAUUGGAGCGGCCGAUGUCAGAUUAGGUAGUUGGUGGGGUAAAGGCCCACCAAGCCAACGAUCUGUAGCUGGUCUGGGAGGACGACCAGCCACACUGGGACUGAAACACGGCCCAGACUCCUACGGGAGGCAGCAGUGGGGAAUUUUGGACAAUGGGCGCAAGCCUGAUCCAGCAAUGCCGCGUGCAGGAAGAAGGCCUUCGGGUUGUAAACUGCUUUUGUACGGAACGAAACGGUCCGGGUUAAUACCCUGGGCUAAUGACGGUACCGUAAGAAUAAGCACCGGCUAACUACGUGCCAGCCGCCGCAGUAAUAC